CCGGGCAAGGGGCUCCCCCGAGCAGCAGCGCUUCCUGGGUGGCAUAGUCCCAGGGUGCAGAAAGGUGUGGAUGAGGCCUCUGCCCUGGGUCCGCCGACAUCCAGUGCCUCUCAACCUGGAAGUCUCUCCUCCAGGAGGCUGUGGGUGUUCUAAUGCGUGUCUGUUUGCAUUUCCCUGUGUGUGUGUGUGAGAGAGAGACACACACACACACUAGGGAUGCUCAGCACUGUCGUGUGACCGCCCCCCGAGCACCUUCCGGGUGCCGACGUAUACGUCUUGUGUGCUCCCGCAUGUACAUGGCUUUCUGUGUCUCUCUCUCCACGUGCCUGGGAGAUUCAGGGUGCUGUGUGCCUGUUGACCUUCUGGUCCCCGGGGGUAUCUGCUUGCGGGUGAGAGCUUGUGGUGUGAUGCAGGUUGCUGGGAUCUUUGGCGAUUGUGUUGCGCCACCAAGAAGAGAUGGCACCUCUGAACUCUGUGCCCACAGACACUGAUGAAACUCAGAUACUUCUGAGUCCCCUGGCCCCACACACUGGGAGCCCCUCGGUGUCUAUAGGCGGUGUCAGACCCCCCAGUGUUGGCGCUGGGCCUGGGUCACAGCGUGGACAAAUAAAAUGACUGGACAGUGGCUUGGCUUCUUCCCUUGGACCUUUUUUGUCUUCUUUGCAUGGGUGUCUGGAUGUGUAGGCACGGAAAGCGAUGAGUGGGUGGACGGAUGAGUGAGUGGAUGGGUGGAUAGAAGGAUGGACGGGUGAUGGAUGGGUGGGUCAGUCAAUGGUUAGAUGGGUGGAUGAAUAAGUGGAUGGUAAUGGAUGGGUGGGUGGGUGGGUAAGUGGUGGAUGAGUGAGGGGAUAG
rnacentral:lncRNA from 1 species